rnacentral:lncRNA from 1 species
UUUACCUCUUCUCCUCAAACUCGUUACAAGUGUGUUUUGUAUUUCAUACUCAUUUAGCCCCUUUCAUUAGCAUCGAAAUCACUCCAGUUUUCUUUAUCACUGAAAAAUGUCUUGCUGUGGUGGAAACUGUGGCUGCGGUUCUGUCUGCAAGUGUGGCAGUGGCUGUGGAGGGUAAAUAUUUUCCUUUUUCUUUUUGUUCUUAUGAGUCCAAAAUCUCGUUUGCCUUAAUGGGGUCUCUUUGAUUUUUGUAGAUGCAAGAUGUACCCAGACCUGAACGUUGCCGAGAUGACCACAACUGAGACUCUGGUUCUUGGUGUAGCACCCCAGAAAGCGUAAGUAAAACAAAAUCUUCAUUUUGAAGUUUUGAUAAUCAAGAAUUCUGAUCCUUUUUUCUUUUUUUUUGUAAUGCAUGGCAGACACUUUGAGGGAGCUGAGAUGGAAUUCGGGGCUGAGAACGGCUGCAAGUGUGGAGACAACUGCACCUGCAACCCUUGCAAUUGUAAAUGAUUAGAGACCAAAGCCAAAGCUCCCUGGAAGCAGAGACGCCUUUGUCUUUAAGAAAUAAUAUGUUUUGUUGUUUAUGUGUUUUUAGAAUAAAGUAGCCAUGGCUUGUCGUAGGUUUUGCCUGUUGCCGCCACGGUUACUUGGUGCUUGCCAAUAGAUAGAGUGAAGUACUAAUAUUUACUUGUUUUUCUGUCCAGUGUGAGCAUCUCUGCUAUCUCAGGAUAUAUUGUGACUAUUACAUAAUUAAUGUAAGGAAGUGAGUCAGAUUCCUAAUGAAUGAAAA